rnacentral:rRNA from 1 species
AAGUCGUAACAAGGUCUCCGUUGGUGAACCAGCGGAGGGAUCAUUACUGAGUACUACACUCUCUACCCUUUGUGAACUAUUAUACCUGUUGCUUCGGCGGCGCCCGCAAGGGUGCCCGCCGGUCUCAUCAGAAUCUCUGUUUUCGAACCCGACGAUACUUCUGAGUGUUCUUAGCGAACUGUCAAAACUUUUAACAACGGAUCUCUUGGCUCCAGCAUCGAUGAAGUACGCAGCGAAACGCGAUAUGUAAUGUGAAUUGCAGAAUUCAGUGAAUCACCGAAUCUUUGAACGCACAUGGCGCCUUCCAGUAUCCUGGGAGGCAUGCCUGUCCGAGCGUCGUUUCAACCCUCGAGCCCCUGUGGCCCGGCGUUGGGGAUCUGCCACGGCAGGCCCCUAAAACCAGUGGCGGACCCGAAGGGCCCUCUCCUUUGCGCAGUAGCAUUCGCCUCGCAUCGGGAGUCCUCGGCGUCCUGCCUCUAAACCCCCCACAAGCCCGCUUCGGCGGCACCAAGGUUGACCUCGGAUCAGGUAGGAAUACCCGCUGAACUUAA